CGGGCUAGUGAUGAUCUCUUUCCACAGUUCCCGCGACUUUCUAUGAGCGUUUUGAACUACAUGCACUACCAUCUGAAGCUUC
rnacentral:snoRNA from 1 species